AAUGUAAUUCAACAUGACCCAGCAGAUAUCUAUAGUUAUGAAAAUGCUGAUAUUCUGAACAACAGACCUGAGGAAGAUACAUUCGAAUCAGAAUAUAUGAAUACUUGAAGUGAAUGUUGCCUGAACGCAAGCUAGUGGCUGAAAUGGGACUCCAGUUGGAUUAAACUUAAAUAUUUGGAACUAAUACACAUUUUGACUUUAAUAUGGAAAGAGGUUUCUAGCUUUGAUCAUAUUUGUAUGUUGGUGAACAUUUAACAAUAGCAUAGCUCUGUGUGUAUACACUUACUUUACUCCAAUAAAAGAGUAAAGAUCAAACAGCUUUAAAUUAACUUUGUAAUUUAUCAGCUGAUCUCAAGUUAAUUAACUUGUGGUCGAGAGAUGUUUUU